rnacentral:lncRNA from 10 species
ACGCAGCUGGAGUGGACAGGACGGCUUUCGAGAUUUGGCGCGGCCUUUGUCUCUGGCUGCAGUCGUAGCUCCAGGUCUUUUCUUCUCUGUUCUGUGUCUUCUGCUCCUAGAGGCCCAGCUUCUGUGUCCCUGUGACCUGUAGGUAUUGGGAGAUCCACAGCUAAGAUGCCAGGACCCCCUGGGAAGCCUAGAAAAAUGGUUCUGCCUGCAAAGAAGAUUGUGACAUAUUGCUGGUUGCAACACCACGGUGAUGUUACUUUUUGCCUUCUCACUGCCCUCAGAAGGCAUUGUGAUAUGUUGGUGGUCCCAGCUUCAAAGAAAUGUUCCGUGACUCUCCUGUCUGUGCCCUGCCUACAUGGAUUAUUGUGACAUAUUGCUGGGUCCAACACCCAGGUUCUGCCUGUAGAAAAGAUUGUAACAUAAUGCUGGGCCCAACUUCAAGGUGGCAUUACUUUUUUGACUUGGCCUUGCUCUCAGAAGACAUUAUAACAUACUGCUGGGCCCAGAACCAAGGUGAUGUUAAGUCUUCUGACUAAAACCUACCCACAGAAGACAUUGUGACAUAUCUCUGGGCCCAUCAACUAUUUGAUGUGACUCUACUCUUAUCUGAGUUUUUUUAAUAAAAGAGAUUUUGACAUAUCUUUGGGCCCAGCACCUAGGUGAUUUGACUCUCUUCUGCUGUGUGAGCCAUGACCAGAGAUGGAGAGUGACUUAUCGCCUGAACCAGCACACAAAUGUAAUUAUUCUGAUUUCUUUCCAAAGAAGUCAUCGUGACAUAUUUUUGAGGCCAUCGCCUAAAUGAUACAAUUUUUUUUUCCUUGGGCCUUGCCCACUGAGGUGAUUGUGAAAUACAGCUGGGCUCAGCCCUUAGGUUAUGUGACUCUCCUCUUUUUUUCUGAGCCCUAUCCACAAUGGGCAUUGUGACAUAUCUCUGGGCCCAUCACCUAGGUGAUGUGACUCUUUUCUGGGCCUUCACUCAGGGUACAUUAUGAUAUAUACCUGUAUCUAGCACCUAGGUAAUGUGACUCUCCUAUUCUGCCUGGGCCGUGCAUAUAUUGUGUACUGGGACAUAUUUCUGGGUCCAGCACCUAGGUGAUUUUGCCCUCCAGCACAGCCCCUGCCAUCAGGGUUAUAAUAUAUCUUUCUAUUCAUCACCUACAUGAUGUGACUCUUUUUGUUUGCCUUUGUCCUGCCAAAAAGGGGAUUGUGACAUUUCACCCAGCACCCAGGUGAUGUGACUCUCCUCUUACGAUUGGGACUUAGAAUUUUUGGUAGUGUGACAUACUGCUGAGCUUAACACCUUGGCAGUUGGAGGCUCUUGCCUGGGCCUGGCUCACAGUUGCCCUGUGACAUAAUUUUGCAUCAAUCAUCUGGGAGAUGUGACUCUUCUUUUCUACCUUCACUCUGCCCAAAGGGAAGAUUGUCACAUAUCGCUGGGCUCAGCAACCAGGUAUGUGUCUCUCCUGCUUGUGACUUGCCAACAGAGAGCAUUGUGACAUACUCCUGAGCCAAUCACACUGGUGAUGGGACUCUGCUUCAUGUGACUUGCUUUCAGGAAGAAAUUGUAACAUAUCUCUGGUUGAGCACCCAGGUAAUGUGACCCCUCCUGCCUCACCCCUGCCCUCUGGAAAGAUUGUGACAUAACUCUGGCCUAUCACUGAAGUGAUGUGACUCUUCUGUUGGCUCUCUGUGGACAGUAUCUGGGAUUACAGGCACAUGCCACCACCCCCAGCUAAUUUUUUGUAUUUUAGUAGAGACGGGGUUUCACCAUGUUGGCCAAGAUGGUCUUCAUCUCCUGACCUUGUGAUCCGCCCAUCUCGGCCUCCCAAAGUGCUGGGAUUACAGGCGCGAGCCACCACGCCCGGCCCGGGAUGGUGACUCAUUUCUAAACCCAGCUCAUAGGCAGGUGAGGACUCUCCAAUCUAGAUCCAUCCAGUUGGAGACAUAUUGAUUCGCAUAUCUAGGCUUAGAACCAUUGGUAUGAUUAUUUGUCUAUAUCAUCACAAAGGUUGCAAAGAAGACUGCGACUCUUAUGCAUACUGUAUAAAACACUUGAAUAGUGCUGAGUGCUGAGCUCAGCAUACAGGUGACAUUGUGACAUUUAGAUGUACACCCAACAGACAGCAAAGAUUGUCAUCAUUCUACAUUAACAGUCCACUGUUGCGUUUCUGAAUCUCACACUCAAAGUCAGUCGAAAGUUGGAUAACUGACUGUAUACAUGGAUGACUGUCAUACGUGGACUCCAUCCACAGGUGGGUUGCUGACUUUCAGACCAAGAUUUAGCACACCCAUGAUGUUGUGAAUCCACGGAGGAGACAAAGUCUGCAGGAGAAGUUUAGGCUCCCAAACACAUGUCUAGUCCACCAAUGAGAUUGUGACUUGUGUACUUACGUUGCGGGAAAUUAAGGAACCGGAGAGACCAAAUGGAGGGCAGGAAGUGUUUAUUUAAGGUGUACACUGGCUCAGUGGACAUGUGUCCUGAAAGUCUGAGCCCCGAACAAAGAAAACGAGUUCCUUUUAAGUAUUUUGAGGCGGGCACUAUGUGAAGCAGGAAGCAGGCUUACAGAAGCAAGAACAAAGGCUGCUGUGAUAUUUUUGCAACAUGUCUUACAUCUUUGGGAAUACUUGGUUUGUAGCUUAUGCUUAUUUGUUUUGUGACCUUGCAGCUGUGCAGGGAAGAAAGGAACAGGAGCUUAUAGAGCCUACAAAAUAUGUGGAGAGUGGAUAUGGUUAAUGUUUCUUGGGACAGGCAGUUAAUUUUUUUUUUAACUUUAACUUCGUGGGGCGCUACUUAAAUUUUUUUCAGCCAUGGUUAAUACAGCAAUUCAUUCUAUGAGCUAUUAUUAUUUGUCUUACUAUUACUAUAAUCUUUACUAUUAUUACUUAUGCUAUUAUUUUGUUAUUUUCUUAAUUUCUUACUUCACUUAUACCCAACCUACAGUGAGCAGUGACUCUCAUAACAAGAGCCAGGAAAGGUGUGAGAUUGGUAGUCUCAUCCCUGGACCUCCUGCAGGUGUGAUUUUGACAUACACCUCUCCUCAGCACCUGAGUGAUUUGACUCUCCUGCCUGAGUCCAGCUUACAAAUGAGAUUGUGACAUAUCACUGGACCCAGCACCUUGGUAAUAUGACUAUCCUCCUGCUUUGGCACUGCCCACAGAAGGUAUUGAGACAUAUUGCUGAGCCUAGCACUUCUAUGAUUUGACUCUGCUGCCUGUACCCUGCUUUCAGGAAGGGAUUGUAGCAUAUCUGGCUGAGCAUCUAGGUGAUGUGACUCUCUUGCCUGGUGCCUGCCCUCAGGAAAUAUUGUGAUAUAUAUAUAUAUUGCCCUCAGGAAAUAUUGUGAUAUAUAUAAAAUAUAUGAUCCAGAUCAAGGUGCAAUAGUAACUAUUGUAACUUGAGUCAGCAAAUAGGAGAGAUACUGUCUCUUGUAGCUAGGCUUAGGGUACUAGGUAAGAUUCUGGGUCUCCUCUUUGUAUGAAGGUCAUAAAGAAUUACCACUCACUCACAUACCUUAUAAAGCCCUCAAAUGUUACAGACAGUGUAAUUACAGGGCCCGGCACACAGGUGAGAUUGUGUUUUUUCUAUGCAUACCCUGCCAACUGUUAGGAUUGUCACCCUCACACAUUGAAAGAGCCCACUGGUGAGGUUCUAAACUACACACAUGUAUGAGGUCUACAGUUGAAAUUGUGAUUGUCAAAUAUCAACAUCCUGCUACAGUUGAGACGGUGACUCAUUUAUAAACCCAGCUCAUAGGUAGGUGAGAACUCUUAUAUCUGGACCCAGCCAAUUGAAGGGAUGUUAACUCUUGUACUUGCUCUUAGGUCCACAGGUACAAUCAUGGGUCCAUACCAGCAUGAAGGUCUCAUACCAAAUUUAUUUUUUUGUUUUUUUAUUAUUAUUUUCUUGAGACAGAGUCUCUGUUACCCAGGCUGGAGUGUAGUGGCGUAAUCUCGGCUCACUGAAACCACCGCCUUCCGGGUUCAAGCAAUUCUUCUGCCUCAGCCUCCUGAGUAGCUGGGACUACAGGCGUGCGCCACCACACCUGGCUAAUUUUUGUAUUUUUAGUAGAGAUGGGGUUUAGUAGAGAUGGGGUUUCACCAUCUUGGCCAGGCUGGUCUUGAACUCUUGACCUCGUGAUCUACCCACCUCGGCCUCCCAAAGUGCUGGGAUUACAGGUGUGAGUCACCACGCCUGGCCAACAAAUUGCCACAUUCUAAAGCCCUUGGGUGGUACUGAGUGUGUUUUUAACAGGGCCCAGCACACAGGUCAGAUUGUGUUACUUGUAUACAUACCCAGCCAAUUGUAAAGAUUGUCAUCUUUUAUGAACUGUGUUUAUAGGUGCUCAGGUUCUGAAUGUGCUCAGGUUCUGAAUAUCACAUCUGAAGGUGGUGGAAAGUUGGAAAAUUGACUCCCCUACAUAAAUUCCAUUCACAGAAUGAUGGGUGACUCAGGACCAAGAUUUAGCACAUUUGUGAGGCUGUGACUCUGCUACAGGUACACAGUCCAUGGGGAAUUGAGGCUCUCAGGCACAAAUCUAUCCACAGUUAAUAUCGUCACUGUGUACUCAGAAAAAAAAUACAGGGGAUGUUGACUCUCUUACUUAGAACUAGGACAUGUGCAAGAUUGUUAAUCUCAUCCCUAGACGUUUUUGCAGGUGUGAUUAUGACAUAUGCCUCUUCUUAGCGCCUGAAUGAUUAGACUCUUGCUUGCGCCCAGCCCACAAGUGGAAAUUGUGACAUAUUGCUGGACCCCAACCUAGGUGAUGUGACUCUAUUCUUUUUCCUUGGUACUUCCCACAGGAGCAUCUUGACAGAUCGCUGGGCCUUGCACCCAAGUGAUGUGAGUCUCCUCUGCUGCCUUUGUGCUUUCCACAGGGAACAUUGUGACACAUCGCUGGGCAGCACACCCGGGUUAUGUGACUCUCCUGCCUGUGCCCUGCCCAAGUGAGCCAUUGUAACAUUUUACUUGGUCCAACACCCAGUUGAUGUAACUCUCCUGCCUGGGCCCUGCCUACAGGGUCAUUGUGUCAUAUCUCUGUUGCCAUUACUGUCGUGAUGUGACUCUCUUCUCCUCUUGGGAUUUUAUGUGUUGGCAUACUUCUGGGGUCUUGCAUUACUUCUCCUAACCCACCCAACUCCUGAGAUCUCACUGGGAAGCUACUGAUGACCAGUUUUAGGUGUUUCGUAUUUAUUAGGAGACUGCCUGUCCCUGGCAACAGCUGUCACCAAUUAUUACUUUAGAGAGAUAGUUCACUGCCUGGCCAUUACCUGAUUGCUGCCUGACAUUUCUGGUGUGUGUGGAGUGGGGUGCCCUUUCUUGCCCUGCCUAUGCUGGACUAGCUACCUACUGUCACACUGCAUGCAUUUGUUUUGUGACAUAUGGCUGGGUCCAAUACCUAGGUGAGGUGACUCUCCUGCAUGGGUCCUGCCCACAAGGGUAUUAUGAUAUAUUUUUACAUUCAUGAUUUAGGUGAUGUGGCCUUCUCCUUCUGCCUGGUCUCUGCCAAAAUGUAGGAUGGUGAUGUAUCACUGGACCUAGCACCUAGGUGAUGUGACUCUCCUCUUUCAUGGGCCCCACAUAUGAGUACUGUGACAUAUCACUGGGCCAAACAUGUAGAAUUUGGGAGGUGCCUGCCUAUGCCCUGCAAACAGGGCUCUAGCCCUACAACGCUCAAGAGCCUUGUGACAUAUCUCUGUAUUCCUCACCAAGGAGAUGUGACUCCUCUGCUGCUGCCUGCACCUGGCCCACAGGGAAGAUUGUGACAAUAACAUUGACUCAGCAACAGGGUGAUGUGCUUCCUUUUCCUGGGCCUUGCUCCCAGGGAGCAUUGUGACAUGUCACUGGGCUCAGCACCCAGGUGCUGUGACUCUGCUGCCCAUGCCCUGCUUUCAGAACAGGAUUGUAACAUAUCCCUGGCUGAUCACCCAGGUGAUGUUACUCUUCUGCCUGGUUCCUGCCAUCAGGGAAGAUUGUGACAUAUUCCUGUCCUAGCGACCAGGUGAUGUCACUCUCCUGCUCACUCUCUAUCGACAGGUGGGAUUGUAAAAUAUAUCCUUGUUCAGCUUGUGGGUGAGAUGAUAACUCUCAUGCCUCAAACCAGCCAAUAGGAGAGAUACUGUUUUUUGAAGCUAGGCUUAGGAAAAUGAGUAAGGUCCUGGAUCUCCUCUGUAUGAAUAUCAUAGUUGAUUACCAGCCUCUCACAUAUAUAAAUUUUUCAAGUGGUACAGACAGUCUCAUCACAGGACCCAGGACCCAGGUGAGAUUGUGUUUUUCAUAUGCACACUAUCAGCCAUUAGGAUUUUGCCCUCACACAUGGACAGAGCCUACUGGUAAGGUCUUGAAUCUCACAUGUGGAUGGAGUUGAAAUUGUGACUGUUAUUUGUGAACAUCUGGCUGCAGUUGGGAUGGUGACUCAUUUCUAAUCUAGCUCCUAGGCAGGUGAGGACUCUUAUUUUUCAUUUUUAUUUUAUUUAUUUUUAUUUUUUUGGAGACAGUAUCUCACUCUGUCACCCAGGCUGGGGUGCAGUAGUUUAAUAAUGGCUCACUGCAACCUCCACCUCCUGGCUUUAAUCGAUUCUCCUGCCUCAGCCUCCUGGGUAGCUGGGAUUACAGAUGUGCACCACCACACCGGGCUAAUUUUUGUAUUUUUAGUAGAGAUGGGGUUUCACCAUGUUGGCCAGGCUGGUCUCGAACUCCCGACCUAAAGUGAUCCACCUGCCUCGGCCUCCCAAAGUGCUGGGAUUACAGGCAUGAGCCACCAUGCCUGUCCUCUUUUACGUGGAACCAGCCAGUGAUAGAGAUGCUGACUCUCAUACCUGGGCUUAGAGACACAGGUACAAUCAUGGGUCUAUACCUUCAUCAUGAAGGUCAUAGAGUGGUUUGCAACUCUCGUUAAUACUGUAGAAAUCUCUCGUGUGGUACUGAGAGAGCCUAGAACACAGACAAAAUUGUGACACUCAUACACCCACCCAGCCAACAGUAAAAAUUGUUAUCUUUCCACAUGAACACAGCCCACUGUUGAGGUCCUGAGUCUCCCUCAUGAAAACAGUCAAAAGUUGGAAAAUUGACUUUAUUUUUUUUUUUUUUUUUAGAGUCUCACUCACUGUAACACACAGGCUAGACUGCAGUGGUGCAAUCUCAGCUCCUGCAACCUCCACUUUCUGGGUUCAAGCAAUUCUCGUGCCUCAACCUCCUGCGUAGCUGGAAUUACAGGCAUGUGCCACCACACCCAGCUAAUUUUUGUAUAUUUUCUACAGACAGGGUUUCACCAUGUUUCCCAGACUGCUCUCAAACUCCUGGCCUCAAGUGAUCCAGGCCUGCCUCGACCUCCCAAAGUGCUGGGAUUACAGACAUCAGGCACCACCCCCAGCCUGGAAACUUGACUCUUAUAUGUGGAUGCAUUUCACAAUAUUUAGCACAUCUGUGAGUCUGUGACUCCAGUAAGGGUACACAGUCUGCAGGAAGACUUCAGGCUCUCAUAAACAAAUCGAGUGCACCAUUGAGAUUGUGAGUCUCUUAAUUAGACCCAACAUACAGGAGGUGUUGACUCAAAUUUAGAACUGGGACAUGUGUGAGAUUGUUAAUCUAACCUCUAAGCCAUCCUGCAGGUGUGAUUUUGGCAUAUGUCUCUGCUCAGUACUUGAGUGAUUUGACUCUCCUGUCUGGGCCCAGUCUAUAGGCACAAUUGCGACAUAUCACUGAACCAGCACAUGUGACUCCAUACUCCUGCCUUGGUGCUGCCCACAGGGGAGAUGGUGGAAUAUCACUGGGCCUUGCAUCCAAGUGAUGUAAGUCACCAUUUCUUUAUUGGCACUGCCUACGGGGGACACUGGCGUAUCUCUGGGCUCAAAACCCAGCUUAUGUGAUUCUCCUAUUUUUUCCCUGCCCACAUGGGCCAUUGUGACAUACUGCUUAGUGUAACACCCAUGUAAUAUAACUCUUCAGCCUCAGCCUUGCCUACAUGGGCGUUGUGAUGUAUCUCUGCACUCAUCACCCAGGUAAUGUGACUCCUGUCUGGUUUCUGUUCAGAUGGGAUAUUUUUGCCUAUUGCUGGGUAUAGCACCUAGCUGAUGGGACUCUUCCCAUCUUUCUAAGGCCCACCCGCAUGGAAGAUGGUGACAUUUCACUUUGCCCUACACUAAGGUGACAUUAAUCUGUUGCCUUUGCCCUACUUUCAGAAGACAUUGUGACAUAUUGCUGGGCCCAGCACCCAGGUGAUGUGAGUCUCCUGCCUGAGCCCUGCUCACAGAGGGCAUUGUGACAUACUUCUGACUUCAUCAACUAUUUGAUGUGACUCUCCUAUCUUACCUGGGCUUUGCCCAUAAGAAAAAAUGUGACAUAUCUCUGGGACCAAAACCUAGGUGAUGUGACUCUCUUCUGACAGGGUCAUGCCCACAGAAGAAAGAUGGCUUAUUGCCAAACCCAGCACACAGGUGAGGUAAUCCUGUCUGGUCCCUGCCCACAGGGGUUAUUUUGACAUAUCUCUAAGCCCAUCAGCUAGAUUACGUGACUGUCUUCUUCCUGUAAACUGUACAGAGAGAAUAUUGUGACAUAUCACUUGGUCCAGAACCUAUGUGAUGUGACUGUCAUGACUGGGCCCUGUCAUUUGGGGUGAUUGUGAAACAGGUGGCAUGAGCAGGACCUAGGUUAUGUAACACUUUUCUUCUCUCUUAGCCCUACACACAGAUGACAAUGUAGCAUAUCUCUGGGUCUUUCACAUAAAUAAUUUUACUUUUUUGCCUGGGCCAUGUCCGGUAACAUAUUGCUGGACCUAGAAACUAGGUGAUGUGACUCUCCUCUACUGCUUAGGCUCUGGCAAAAAAAAAAAAAAAAAAAAUUGUGGUGUAUUGCUGGGCCAGUACCUAGGUAAUGUGACAUUUUUCUAUUGCCUGGGCCCUGUGUAUUCUGGGUAUUCUGACAUAUCGCUGGGCCCAACAUGUAGGGAAUGGGAGUACCACCUGGGCCCUGCUCACAUGGGGCCUUGUGACAUAUCUCUUUAUCCAUCACCUAGGAAAUGUGUCUCUCCUCUUCUGCCUGCACCUUGCCAACAGAGAAAAUUGUGACAUAUUACUGAGCCUAGCAACCAGGUGAUGUGUCUCUCCUGCCUGGGCCUGGCUGACAGAAAGCAGUGUGAUAUAUUCCCGGGCCCAGCAAACAGGUAAUGUGACUCUCCUGCCUAGUCCCUGGCCUCCAGGAAGAUUUUGACAUAUUCCUGGCUCCAAAAAACAGGUGACGUGACUCUACUUAUCAUUCCCUAUCCACGGGUGUAAUUGUCACAUUUAUCUUGGCCUAGCUCACAGAUGGCAUAAGUCUCAUACCUUGAACCAGCCAAUAGCAGAGAUCCUGUGUCUCUUAGCAAGGCUUAGGCAAAUAGGUGAGUUCAUGGGCCUCCGCUUUAUAAAGAUUGUAAAUGCCAUUCUCUUGCAUAUUGUGUAAAGGUCUUGAAUGGUACAGAAAGUGUCAUUACAGAGCCUAGCACACAGGUAAGGUUGUGUUUCUCAUAUGCUCACCCUAAAAACCCUUAGUAUUGUCAACCUCCCACAUGGAUGGAACUCACUAAUGAGGUUCUUAAUCUCACAAACACAGUCCAUAGUUGAAAUUGUGACUGUCAUAUGUGAACAUUCAGCCAGAGUUGAAAUGGUGAAACAUUUCUAAACCCAGCUCCUAGGCAGGUAAGGCAUCUUCUUUCUGGACUCAGCCAAUUGGAGACAUGUUGACUCUCAUACCUGGGCUUAGGGCCACAAGUACAAUCAUGGGUCCAUACCAGCAUGAAGGUCUCAGACAAGAUUGCACUCCCAUGCAUACAGUACAAAGCCCUCAAGUAGGACAGAGAAUGUUCUAAUAGACCUCAGGACACAGGUGAGAUUGUGACACUCAUAAGCACACCCAGCCAACAGUAAUGAUUGUCACCCUCCCACAUGAACACAACACAUUGUUGAGAUUCUGAACCCCACAAUAAAAAAAAAGUGCCAAAAGUUGAACAAUUGUCUCAUCGUUUAUUUCAGUCCACAGGUGGGUUAUUGACACUCAGACCAAGAUUCAGUACACCUGAAAGACUGUGACUCCACUAAGAAAACAGUCUGUGAGAGGAAUUGAGGCUCUCGUCCAUGGAUCUAGUCCACUGUUGAGAUUGUGAAUCAUGUACUUAGGCCCAACAUAAAAGAGGUGUUGAUUCUCAUACCUGGAACCUGGACAUGUGCAGGAUUGUUAAUCUCAUUUAUGAACAUUCCUGCAGCUGUGAUUGUGACAUAUGCCUCUGCCCAGCACCUGAGUGAUUGAAUUCUUCUGCCUGGGCUCAGCCCACAGAUUGGAUUGUGAAACAUUGCUGAACCCAGGACCUAACUAAUGUAAAUCUAUUCUCCUGCCUUGGCACUGCCCACUGGGAACCCUGUGACAUAUUGCUGCACCCAACACCCAGGUUAUGUGGCUCUCCUGCCAGUGCCUUGCCCACACGGGCUGUUGUGACAUAUUGCUGGGUCCACACCCAGGUGAUAUAAUUCUCUUGCCUAGGCCCUGCUUACAGAGAGCAUUGUGACAUAUCUUUCUGCUCAUCACACAGUUAAUAAGACAGUUUCUGCCUGGUUUCUCCUUACAGGGUGUAUCAAAACAGAUUGCUAGGCCCAGCACCUAGCUGAUGUGACUCUUUCUAGGUUUUGCCCACAAGGAACAUUGUGACAUAUCACUGGGCCCAACAGCAAGGUGAUGUUGCCCUUUUGCUUUGGCCUUGCUCUCAGAAAGCAUUGUGACAUAUUGCUGAACCCAGCACCAAGGUGAUGUGAGUUGGUAUGCCUGGACCCUGCUAACAAGAGGCAUUGUGACAUACUUCUGGGACCAUCAUCUAUUUGAUGUGACUCUCCUUUUACCUGGGCUUCUGUUGUAAAAGAGAUUGUGACAUAACUCUGGGCCUAACAGCUAGACUUGUCUGCAGCGCAGAUUGCUACAUAUUGCUUGGCCCAGCUCCUAUGUGAUGUGACUCUCCUGUCAUACCUGAGUGCUCCCCACUGCGAUGGGCAACAGACCAACUUCAGCUUGCAACCCUCUGGAGUGCAUUCUGUAACACUGGAACUUCUUUAACCUCCGGACUUUGAAGAAGAAAGCAACCAUUUUCUUUUGCACAAGGGCAUGACAUUUAUACUACACCUUUGCAGGUAGUGUAAGAUCAACCCAGCUUUUUAAAAAGUCAUAUCAGGCAGGCUUAUAGAAAAUGAUUCACCAGAAUUAGAAAAGCAAGUUCCAGGGAAGCCAUUUGAGAAUCCCCCUUAUUUAGAGCCAUCUCAAGUUCUCUUAUUACAAGACCUUAGCCAAAUAAAGGAAGACUUAGGCUGAUUUUCUGACAACCCCCAAUAGGUAUAUAGAAGCUUUCCAAAAUUUGACUCAGGUGUUUCACCUCACAUAGAAGGAUGUUGUGCUGCUCCUAAACCAAACCCUAACUGCAGCUGAAAAGCAGGCAGCUCUACAGGCAGCAGAGAAUUGCAGAAAUGAACAAUAUGUCGCCUAUAAUGCACCAAAAUUUAAAAAGGAGAAAGUGAAGAAAUAACAGAAACACCAUUCCCAAUAGGAAGGGAAGCAGUUCCUCUUUACAACCCUGGUUGGAACUCCAAUAGCUCUGCAGAUAAAUGGAAAAAAAAAAAAACACUUUAAUAUGCAUAUUAGAGGGUUUAUGAAUAGGGACAAAUCUCUUACUCUAAACUGUCCAUGAGGACAAAUCUCUUACUCUAAACUGUCCAUGAUAGACCAAAUGCCAGAAAAGAGUCUUGCAGCCUUUAUGAAAAGGCAGAGAGAGGCACUAAUAGAGCAUAUCUCCUUUUCUUCUGAUCCAAUCAACAAAUAGUGCAUUCUAAAGGACAGGUUUAUUACGCACGAAGCUCUCGAUAUUUUUUUUUUUUUUUUUUUUUUUGAGACGGAGUCUCGCUCUGUGGCUCAGGCUGGAGUGCAGUGGUGCGAUCUCAGCUCACUGCAAGCUCUGCCUCGGGAUUCACGCCAUUCUCCUGCCUCAGCCUCCCGAGUAGCUGGGACUACAGGCGCCCGCCACUGCACCCAGCUAAUUUUUUGUAUUUUUAGUAGAGACAGGGUUUCACCAUGGUCUCCAUCUCCUGACCUCGUGAUCCGCCCGCCUCGGCCUCCCAAAGUGCUGGGAUUACAGGCGUGAGCCACCGCGCCAGGCCAAGCUCUUGAUAUUAAAAAAGAAACUACAAAAGCAGGCUAUAGAAUCAGAUAGCACCUUAGAGAACCUCCUGAAGGUAGCCACUUCAGCCUUUUAUAAUAGGGACCAGGAGAAAACCCAAGAGAAAGCGAGGAAACUCAGGAGAAGGACAAAGGCUCUAGUAGUUGCUUUGCAAGCCUGCAAUGUCCAGGAUUUCCAAGGUUCAUCUGCUCAUUGCUAUCAGUCUGGCAAGUCAGGGUACUUUAAGAAGCAGUGCCCAAGCAUCAAGAAGAAGCCACCUCAACCCUCUGCAGGCUGUGGCAGAGACACUAGAGAGCAAACUGCCCCCAGAGAUGAGGUCACUAGAUUCAGAACCAGUCUCACAGAUCGUUUGGCAGGAAUAAUGGGUCCUAGGGACCCAACCCCCAGCUCCAGCAGCUCAAACUGCCAUUAUAGCCUAGGAUCCCAAGGUGAUUCUGGAAAUUAAAAGAAGGAAGAUAAUCAUCCUUCUAAACAAUAGAGCCAGUCUCCCUCUUUUCUGUUCUCUAAUUCAGGUCUCCCCUCUUCCUGUAGCCACUGCCAUGGUGGCUCUACUACUUAGAAAAGUCUCCAAAUUAACCCUGGAAAUUAUAAUCAUAAUUCUCUUUAAUUAUACUAGAGAAUUUAACUUACACCCCACACAACAUGACACAAUUACUGUCCUCUAGGGGGACCUCUUAGGUAACAAAUAGCCAGUAAAGCAAAAAAUACAUAAGGCAAGAUACUCAGUAGUCACUCUAAACAACGUUAUUAAAAGUGUGUCUCUCUCCCCAGCACAAACGCUCAAUUAGCUGAACUGAUAGCUCUUACAAGAGGACUUGAAUUAAACAAAGGAAAGGUAGCUAACAUUUACACAGACUAAAAGUAUGCUUUCUUGGUUCUUCAUGCUCAUGCUGCCAUUUGGAAGAAAAUACAUUUUCUUACCGCUAAUGGAUCUCUUUUAAAGUAUCACCAGAAAAUUAUUCUCCGUUUUUCUUCCAUGAAAAAUAGCAAUGAUGCAUUGUAAGGGACAUCAAAAGGGAACAGAUGAAGUAGCCGAAGGAAAUACGUUAGCUAAUCAGGCAAUUAAGUCAGCAGCAAGGAAGCCUUGAGGCAUCAACACACUUCAAGCCCCUCUAACCUGGGAAGGCUCCAUAAGAGAAAUUAAGCCUCAGUACUCCCCUGCAGAAAUAGAAUGGGCCACUUUUCGAGGGUAUAUUUUUAGACCUCAGGAUGGCUACAAUCAGAGGAUGGCAAACUCCAUUCGCCAGCCUUCAGCCAAAGGAAAAUCCUUAGAAUCUUUCACCAAGUUUUUCACUUAAGAAAGGAUAAAACUUAUCACUAUGCCCAGAGAUUGUUUUCAGAAGAGAACUUACUAAAAACAGUCAAAUAGGUUGUUAAUUCCUGUGAAGUCUGUCUUAAAAAUAAUCCACUGAACAGGUGGCUCCUUCCUCCUAAAACCCAAAAAAUAAGAAGCUAUCCAGGGGGAGGACUGGCUGAUAGACUUCACCCGCAUGCCAAAGACAAAGGGUAUCCAAUACCUUCUGUUUUGGGUAUAUACUUUUACUAACUGGGUGGAAGCAUUUCCAUGCCAUACAGAAAAGACCUCUGAGGUAAUAAAAGUGUUAAUUAAUAAAAUAACUCCAGCCAGGCGCGGUGGCUCAGGCCUGUAGUCCCAGCACUUUGGGAGGCCGAGGCGAGCGGAUCACGAGUUCAGGAGUUCGAGACCAGCCUGGCCAACAUGGUGAAACUUCGUCACUACUAAAAAUACAAAAAAAUUAGGCAUGGUGGUGCACACCUGUAAUCCUAGCUAUUCAGGAGGCUGAGGCAGGAGAAUUGCUUGAACCUGGGAGGCGGAGGUUGCAGUGAGCUGAGAUCAUGCCACUGCACUCCAGCCUGGGUGACAAAGCGAGACUCUGUUUCAGAAAAAGAUAAACAAACAAAAAAAACCCCUGCUUUGGUCUACCUAAAUACCUUCAAAGUGACAAUGGCCCCUCAUUUAAGGCAGCUGUCACAUGGGAGUCUCAAAUGUGCUAGGCACAGAAUAUGGUCUCCAUUGUGCUUAAAAAUCCCAAUUCUCAGUAAAGGUAUAGAACAAAUGAUAUUAUCAAGAGACACCUUAAAAAACUUGUCACUCUUCUUCCCAUGGCCUUACUAUGGGUAAGAAAUAUGCCUUCCAAGUUAGGUGUAACCUGGGUGCGGUGGCUCAGGCCUGUAAUCCUAGCACUUUGGGAGGCCGAGGCUGGUGGAUCACAAGGUCAGGAGAUCAAGACCAUCCUGGCUAAUACGUUGAAACCCCAUCUCUACUAAAAAUAUAAAAACAAAAUAAGCUGGGUGUGGUGGCGGGCGCCUGUAGUCCCAGUUACUAGGGAGGCUGAGGUGGGAGAAUGGCAUGAACCCAGGAGGCAGAACUUACAGUGAACCGAGAUCGCGGCACUGCACUCCAGCCUGGGAGACAGAGUGGGACUCUGUCUCAAACAAACAAACAAAAACAAAGUUAGGUCUAAGCUCUAUAAAUGGCCUUUUCUUACCAACGAUUUUUCUAUUAAAGCAGAAAACCUAAUUUGGUUAAGUAUGUAACCUCUCUAGCUCACUUCCAACAAAAAUUAACACAACUAGCAGUAGCCCAACCCUAAGAAAUAAGACCACCUUCAUUUAACCCAGGAGAUUUGCUAUCAGUAAAUCUCAUGCCUCUCUCUCUCUUUCCCUAAGCCCAAGCUGGGAAGGGCCCUACACUGUUUUUUUUCAACCCCCUCUUCCCUUGGCAAUAAAAGUUACAGGUAUUUGCUGGGCGUGGUGGCUUAUGACUGUAAUCCCAGCACUUUGGGAGGCCAAGGUGGGCGGAUCACCUGAGGCCAGGAGUUUGAGACAAGCCUGGCCAACAUGGUGAAACCUCAUCUCUACUAAAAAUACAAAAAUUAGCUGGGCUGCAUGGUAUGGGGCUGUGAUUUCAGCUACUCGGGAGGCUGAGGCAGGAGAAUCGUUUGAACCCAGGAGGCUGAGGUUGCAGUGAGCCAAGAUCGCACCACUGCACUUCAGCCUGGGCGACAGAGCAAGACUCCAUCUCAAAAAAAAAAAAAAAAAAAAAAAAAAAAAAAUUACAGAUAUCAACUCUUGGAUACACCACACUCAAGUCAAGUCCUGAAGAGCUGAGGGAGCAACCCCUUACAAGCCCAGAGGAAUGUCCUGAAUAUCAGUGUGAAGAAAUAGAAAAUCUUAAGCUGAAAAUCAUAAAAGAUAAGUAACUUAGGGCUACUCAUCUUGCUCACUACUACGUCAUUGGACACUUUUUGUCAUUUCUAUUUUUCCUCUCCAAGUUUGCCGCCAACUAUUAAAACUUCUCUUUUAACACAUAUUUACAAGAAAAUUUUAAUUAUUCAUAGGAUUGCAUUUGUAACUUCAUAGAACCCCAAAGGGAAAUUCUAUACCUUGGCAAAUAAAAUUUAUAAAUAAAAAUUACUACAUCACUCUUGUGGGAGUUGCUAAAUUCACUCUACUAUUUGUAGUAGAACUAUACACUAUGGAACUCACAGUGUGGAAUUCUAGUUGUAAAAUUCUAAUUGCCAUAAUACUUUGCCUAAUUAUCAUCUUUAUAAGAGGAAUAAUAAUUGAAUAAUUGUAGAAAAAAUUUAGUCAAGGUUGCUUUGCUUAAUUAUUAUCCCUAUAGCAGGGGUAAUAGUUACAGACAAGAAGUAAGCAUGAAAGUUAUACUAUCACUGAGCUUGACAGGACUUUUUAUUAAAGAUUGGCAAUAUGGUGCACUCCAAGCUAUGGAAAGAAGGUUAUAAAAGAGAUUUUAUAAGCAAGGCUUUUAUGGUAAAUUCUUGUCCUAAAAAGACUGGUUGUUUAAAGGAAGGAUAUUUAGGACAAGUCAGAAAGUUUAAGAAUGUUGUAAGAUAAUCUGUGGAAGUCAUGAAAGAACUUAAUAAAGGAAAGAAAUGGCCAAGAUUAACACUUAAGUUACUUUAGCCACUGAAUAAUGUAUUUCUCUUAAUCAUAUCACAAGUUAUAAAAAAUUGCCCGAACCUAAAAUUAUCUCCUGACGGCAAGCCAAGGGGAUAAAUGUAUGUGUUUCUCAAAGAAAAAUGUUACUUUUACAGUAACGUUUCUGGUAGUCUACAGCGACAUCUAGUGGACAUCUACCUGUAUUACAACUAAUUGAAAUAGUAACAGGUAUCAAACUCUGCUGUCAUAGUUAUGGCCUAUAGUACUCUCACUAAUAAUAAUAAUCUUAAUACUCAUGUUAAAACCCUAUAUUCUAAAACUUCUUGUAAAAUUUAUCUUUUUACCUAGAAAAAAACUCCAAAUGGCGCUGCAAACAGAACCACCCAUAGACAUGCCAUUCUUCCGAGAACACUUAAAUAAACCUCAGGAGGAGCCCCAGCUGUUGAUCCCCCACACGACACCCCUUUUCAGCAGGAAGUAGCCAGAAAUAUUCGUCGUCCAACACCCCCAACAGCAGUUAGAAUACUAUCUUCUGAGGGGUGAAUAACAUAGGAGUUUAAAAAAAUAUAUUUUAGGCAGUUAGCAAGGGUAAAAGAGUUCUCGGUGGAAUUUUCCUUCAAUGAAAAGCAGCCAAAAAAC